GAAUGCGAUAAGUAAUGUGAAUUGCAGAAUUCAGUGAAUCAUCGAAUCUUUGAACGCACAUUGCGCCCGCCAGUAUUCUGGCGGGCAUGCCUGUUCGAGCGUCAUUACAACCCUCAGGCCCCCGGGCCUGGCGUUGGGGAUCGGCGGAAGCCCCCUGCGGGCACAACGCCGUCCCCCAAAUACAGUGGCGGUCCCGCCGCAGCUUCCAUUGCGUAGUAGCUAACACCUCGCAACUGGAGAGCGGCGCGGCCACGCCGUAAAACACCCAACUUCUGAAUGUUGACCUCGAAUCAGGUAGGAAUACCCGCUGAACUUGAGC
rnacentral:misc_RNA from 1 species